CUGAACCAGCCAUGCCGCGUGCAGGAAGAAGGCCUUCUGGGUUGUAAACUGCUUUUGCCAGGGGCUAAAAAGUCCAUGCGUGGAAAAUUGAAAGUACCUGGUGAAUAAGCCACGGCUAACUACGUGCCAGCAGCCGCGGUAAUACGUAGGUGGCAAGCGUUGUCCGGAUUUAUUGGGUUUAAAGGGUGCGUAGGCGGCCCUGUAAGUCAGUGCUGAAAUAUCCCGGCUUAACCGGGAGGGUGGCAUUGAUACUGCGGGGCUAGAGUACAGAUGAGGUAGGCGGAAUUGACGGUGUAGCGGUGAAAUGCUUAGAUAUCGUCAAGAACACCUAUAGCGAAGGCAGCUUACUAGGCUGUAACUGACGCUGAGGCACGAAAGUGUGGGGAUCAAACAGGAUUAGAUACCCUGGUAGUCCACACUGUAAACGUUGAUUACUCGCUGUGUGCGAUAUACAGUACGCGGCCAAGCGAAAGCGCUAAGUAAUCCACCUGGGGAGUACGCCG
rnacentral:rRNA from 1 species